GACGAACGCUGGCGGUGUGCUUAACUCAUGCAAGUCGAACGGUAAGGCCCUUUCGGGGGUACCCGAGUGGCGAACGGGUGAGUAACACGUGAGUAACCUGCCCUCAUCUCUGGGAUAACAGUCGGAAACGGUUGCUAAUACUGGAUAUGAGCUUGCAAGGCAUCUUGUGGGUUGGAAAGAUUUUUUUGGUUGGGGAUGGACUCGCGGCCUAUCAGCUUGUUGGUGAGGUAGUGGCUCACCAAGGCUUCGACGGGUAGCCGGCCUGAGAGGGCGACCGGCCACAGUGGGACUGAGAUACGGCCCAAACUCCUACGGGAGGCAGCAGUGGGGAAUAUUGCACAAUGGACGGAAGUCUGAUGCAGCAACGCCGCGGGCGGGAUGACGGCCUUCGGGUUGUAAACCGCUUUCAAUUGUGACGAAGCUUUUUGUGACGGUAGCAGUAGAAGAAGCACCGGCUAACUACGUG
rnacentral:rRNA from 1 species